AUUCCAGCUCCAAUAGCGUAUAUUAAAGUUGUUGCGGUUAAAAAGCUCGUAGUUGGAUUUCUGCUGAGGACGACUGGUCCGCCCCCUGGGUGAGCAUCUGGUUCGGCCUGGGCAUCUUCUUGGGGAACGUAUCUGCACUUGAUUGUGUGGUGCGGUAUCCAGGACUUUUACUUUGAGGAAAUUAGAGUGUUUCAAGCAGGCCCGCGCCUUGAAUACAUUAGCAUGGAAUAAUAAGAUAGGACCUCGGUUCUAUUUUGUUGGUUUCUAGAGCUGAGGUAAUGAUUAACAGGGACAGUCAGGGGCACUCGUAUUCCGCCGAGAGAGGUGAAAUUCUCAGACCAGCGGAAGACGAACUACUGCGAAAGCAUUUACCAAGGAUGUUUUCAUCA
rnacentral:rRNA from 1 species